rnacentral:lncRNA from 1 species
AGUAAUGUCUGCUGAAGCUAAUGGAGCUAAACAAACUCUCAUCUCUUGUUUGGCUGAUCCUGGUGAUGCUCUUUUAGUCCCUGCCCCUUUUUACCCUGGGUAUGUAUGUGUGUUCUCCAAUCUUAAACUUGUUCAUAUAUUAUCGGGAAACUAAUCAGAGGCGGAAUCAGGAUUAUGAGUUUGAGGUUUCUACAUUUUUUGUUGAUAGUGCAAUUGGAACCCACAACUCUAUUGUCGAAAACAUUUUCACAAUUCCUUCCUUACCACUAAGUUGUCAAUCAGUUUUGUUAGGAGUCGUUUACGAGUUAAUAUACAUAUAUAUUUAUUGAUUUUUCUAGUACAUAUACAGGAUCUACGGAAAAGCUAUUGGGUUUGCUUAAACCACGAACUCCCACCUAGCUCUGCCCCUGAGAACACAACAGAUCCUUAUUUGUUUUAUUCAUCUUCAUCGUUUCUCAAGCUUAAACUCCUGCCAUUCUUUUUUUUUUUUUAUCUUCUUCAUUGUAUUGCUUUUCUAGAUCUACCAUCACUAACCUUCACCUUUUUCGCCGAUAGAAAUGGAUAUCAAGACCUAUAUUUAUACUUUUUUCUCUCUUCAUCUAGAAAAGCAAUACCUUCUUCAUUGUAUUGCUUUUCUAGAUCUACCAUCACUAACCUUCACCUUUUUCGCCGAUAGAAAUGGAUAUCAAGACCUAUAUUUAUACUUUUUUCUCUCUUCAUCUAGAAAAGCAAUACCUUCUUCAUUGUAUUGCUUUUCUAGAUCUACCAUCAUUGUCCUUCACCUUUUUCACCGAUAGAAAUGGAUAUCAAGACCUAUAUUUAUACUUUUUCCUCUCUUCAUCUAGAAAAGCAAUACAAUGAUCUUCUUCAUUGUAUUGCUUUUCUAGAUCUACCAUCACUGUCCUUCACCUUUUUUGCCGAUAGAAAUGGAUAUCAAAACCUAUAUUUAUACUUUUUUUUCUCUCUUCAUCUUACUCUCUUCUUCCCACAAAACAACACUAAAAAAGAGGAAGAGAAAGAACAAAUUAAUCGUAAAAUGUUAGUCAAGACUCUUAUAAUUUAACUCAAAAAAAAA